rnacentral:lncRNA from 1 species
GUUACUUAGGGCUGCGAAGGAAGUUGAAGCCAACAAGCAGUUGGGGAUUUACUGUUUAUACUGAAAAGCAGCAGUGGUUCACUAUUUUCAUUGUCGAGGUUUAUUCUUGCUUUUGUGGCUUUGAACUGAUACGAGGAAGAAAAAUAAAGCACUUCGGUUCUUUAUUUUUUUUCCUAUUCUGGGAAGUUGGGCGCAGAGAGGUGCUGCAAGGAUUCUCAAGCGGCAGAGUAAACGAGGAGUGGAGGGCAUGCACCAUAAUUCAGUGUACAUAUUUUUGUGUCUCAUUAUUACAUAUACUAAAAGUAAUAAUCCAUGCAGGUAGAUUAAUUGAUACUCUGUGCACUGAGACUCUUCUAACCUCUCGCUGCUUCCAUUUCACCCAGCAUUCUGCUUGGCAUUGUUUCCAUAGAAACUGGCGAGCAGUGCUGGGUAGGUAA